UUGAUCCUGGCUCAGAUUGAACGCUGGCGGCAUGCCUUACACAUGCAAGUCGAACGGCAGCACGGGAGCAAUCCUGGUGGCGAGUGGCGAACGGGUGAGUAAUAUAUCGGAACGUGCCCAGUCGUGGGGGAUAACGUAGAGAAAUUUACGCUAAUACCGCAUACGAUCUAAGGAUGAAAGCGGGGGACUCGCAAGAGCCUCGCGCGAUUGGAGCGGCUGAUAUCAGAUUAGGUUGUUGGUGAGGUAAAAGCUCACCAAGCCGACGAUCUGUAGCUGGUUUGAGAGAACGACCAGCCACACUGGGACUGAGACACGGCCCAGACUCCUACGGGAGGCAGCAGUGGGGAAUUUUGGACAAUGGGCGAAAGCCUGAUCCAGCAAUGCCGCGUGCAGGAAGAAGGCCUUCGGGUUGUAAACUGCUUUUGUACGGAACGAAAAGGUCUGCCUUAAUACGGCGGGCCCAUGACGGUACCGUAAGAAUAAGCAC
rnacentral:rRNA from 1 species